CUGUCCAAAGACUGUAAAAGUACCAUCCCCGUUGCUGGACUAACAGUAAAUAUGAAGCAAUCACCACCAAACCUUGGGCCUGAUGGCUUUACAAUUGAUGUGACAUUCUCUGAGUGAUAAAAUAGCCUCUCAUUUUACAAAAGUUGAGUCUGAAUUUGGCCCCAGGCCCUCUAGCUCUUUCAGGAAAGGCUGUUACUGAACAAAUGAAGAUUUAACCAGCUCAAGCAUCAAACCGCACAUUCCAGUUUGCUAAAAAGAGAUGAGUCUCACCAUGUUGCCCAGGCUGGACUUGAACUCACCGGCUCAAGCAUCCUUCCACCUCAGCCUCCCAAAAAGCUGGGACUGCAGGUGGGAGCCACAGCACCUGGCCUCCCACCAUCUUGAAAACAAAAUGCUGAUGAGAAAACCGAAGCUCAAAGAAGAAAAAUUACUAGCCCCAAAUGGCACAGAGAGCGAGUAGAAGAGCCAAGAUUUAAACCUAGGAUAUCAAUUCCUAAGAUUAUACAUAUUUUUAAACUUUUUAAUUUUAUGAUUAUAUUGCUUUUAGUUACAAAAGUAAUUCAAGUCUAAUAGUGCAGAAGUGUAUAAUGAAAAAGUUAAUAAUCUGCCUCUCUCCUUUCCCAAAGCACUCUCCUUGGGGUAAACAAUGUGUCCAAUUUGAUGAAAAUGAUUUUAGACUCUUCUCUCAGUAUCACCCAAAUCCUUGACCAUUAUGUUUGUGCUGCCUCCCUAGUUUAGUCUUCUUUCUAGUAUAGCAAACUAUCUCCAAAUGAAAAAGACAAAGGAAAGGGGAAAAUUUUAGAAACGGCUUAGUAACUAAACAUCAAAUGCUCAUAUUAGAUUGAUAAUUAAUAAAGACCCAUCACAUACCGAACUCACCUGAAGAGGAGGCGGUGAUAAACAUUUGCUGUUGAGAUUUACCCUGAUGAGUAUGUAUAUUUAAUUAAAAUGAGAAGCUCUAAAUAUGUGUGUGACUGUGCUGUGAGAAAAUCAUUAUUUUGCCUGAAUAAAGAACAAUUGUUCCUUGUAUGACAGCCAGAUUUGAAUGCUAUAUUUCACCCUGGAAAAUAAAUGAUCCUGGGUAAUUGUAGAAAACUCUGAAAAUAAGUAUUUUCUAGUGAAAAUUCUAAAGGGCUUUAUCUAAUGUGGUAACAAAGUGUAUAACUCUGUUCUAUCCUAUCAAGAAGAAAGGUACUCUUUCCUUUUCAGAGGAAACCAAUUUCCAAUUGUCAUGUGACAGCUACAUUCAAAUACCUUUUUCUAUUCUGAGGAGGUGACAGACUGAACAUGAUGAAAUUUGAUCAUUUUUUAAAAUCUGAAGUUUAGGGAAUAGUGCACAGUAUAACCUCACAAACAAAAACACAUUUUUAGGCUGAGUGUGGCGGCUCAUACCUGUAAUCCCAAAACUUUGGAAGGCCAAGGCAGGAGGAUCACUUGAGCUUAGGAGUUUGAGACUAGCCUGGGCAACAUAGCAAGACCCUGUCUCUACAAAAACCAAACCAAACCAAAAUAAAAAAACACAUUUUGAUUGUUAGAGUUUUUCUUACCUGAUUUAUCACCCCAUGUUACUUUUAAAAUAAAAAAGUUACAAAAUUAUUCUUACAUAGUACAAUUCUUCCAAAAUGUGCUAUUUUCAAUUUUUUAACCGAAAAGUUUGUCUGUAAAACUUUCUCUAGAAUAACGCCUCCCUUCAUGGUUUCAAACAGUUUAAUAGCAGAUCAAAAUACAGGCUCAACAUCAGCAUAUUGAGAUGUAUCCAAAAUAGGAACACUUUUUUUGUGUCUAAAAAUAAACUGCUACUGUUUCAAUAUGUGGAACAAAUAAAAUGGAUUUGGAAGGGGAGCUCACAG
rnacentral:lncRNA from 10 species